CGAAGAUAAUGCAUCUGAUACUGGCUCAGACUGGUCUGGAGGAGAUGUUACAACCAAAAAGGUCAAGGACAAGAGUAAUGGAAAGGCAAAUCAAAGGACACCCCGGCAAGUGAAGACCCAUGUGGAGAAAAUUUACAUAAGUCCUGACUCUCCGACUCUACCACGUGCCCACGUAAGUUACUGAAACCUGACUUACUAUACGGACAGACAGAGAUUCACACAUCCAGGCAGUUUCCCCUCUGACCUCAACCU